UAUAUUUUUCCUCAAUCUUCAUGCGUGGGAGGUACACUUCCACUCUCCUCUUUUCCAUCACAUUGGGACUGGUCCAUUCCGGCCAUACCUGCUCCAGGCCAGAGAUGUCAUCGGGCAACAGCACCAACAUGCUCAGCUCCCCGCUGGCGUACGGAAGCUCCAGGACCUUAAUUUUCUCUGCAGCCAGCACCGCCAAUUUGAAGGUGAGAACCCCAUCAGUGGGUAACAUACUUCAGUGAUGUUACUGAGAAGGAACAAGCCCAAACAGAGGUCACUUCACAUCCAUG